rnacentral:lncRNA from 1 species
CAUACAUAAGUACCUACAUAAACAAUCAAUAUAAUAAAUAAAACAAAAAAGGGCUAAAAUAGAAAGAAAACAAACAUGAGGGGGUAGUAUGCGUCACAACCACGCAAUACGGCCCUCGCUCAGCAUGAUGCUGCGACCCCGUGCGAGACAAAGUCCCAGCGCUGAUUUUCAGCGACAGCCGAAACUAACGUUAUGGCGUCCAACGGGUGAUUAUGCGAAUAUGUGUUAAAUAAAUUGUGUUUAAAUAUAUAUUAAAUAAAUAGUGUUUCUUUGAAGAAUAUAAUAGAAUAUAAUUAGUUUACUCCAUAUGAUCAAAAUACAUGUGGUCGCGCCAUUAAUUAUCUAUGCCUGUAAACCAUAGAGGUCAGUGCUGUAACUUAAACAUCUGUCAAAAACUAUUUCAGCUACUGAAAAUAAAAAUGUAUUUUUAAUGGCGACCGACGCUUUCGUACUUUAUUAUAAGAGGGUACAUAAAAAUAUAUGAGGACAUAACAAAGAACACAGAUGAAGGAUAUUUGGAGCAAUAUGAGCCGACACAGCCCCUCCUCCAAGAUUGCUCAACGAUCAGGAGCCACGCUUCUGCUACAAGUGUGCCUCCAAUGCAUCCCACGCCUCAGGAAAUCCCUACACCAGCGCAUGUACGCCAUGACCCCGUAGGCGUCGCAAUGGUGGAGGGAUAUCAUUCCAACAGCGUGUGGCUGCAAACUUGAAACAACCUCGGAAUGCUAUGGUACGAUGCAUUGGUACCACCAGAGGGCAUACCACGGACCGGAGACCAUGAUCUGAACGGAUGGGUUUCCAGGUCAACUUGCUAUAUAGAUCCAAUAAUCGCAGCAAUGUCCUCGUCGGUGCGGAUUCUUUGGGUGGAGUCACCCGGGCCCUUCCUAGCCAGUAUGCGACCUCGCUUCGUCCAAACAAACCUCCAGCUGAAGAGGCUAGCAGCGUCUCGCGCCUUCCGAAACAAC